AUUCCUCAUCAUUAUAGCAUCACAGGCCCCUCUUUUACCCCUGUUCUAAGGAGCGUCUGGGAGAAAGUCGUUUUGGUGCGGUCUCUGUCGCCAGUAGCCCGAGUUCCGUGAAGUAGUAGGGAGGUGCCGUUGCAGUUGGUAGAGUCGUGGUGGUGGAAGGGUGCGUCUUCUGGUCCUAGCCUUGCAUUGAAGUCCCCAAGGAUUGCCAGGAUAUCCACUGUCCACUAGGACAUCGCUGACUUCUCUUACAAGGUCCUCAAAGAACCAUGUCAGACGCCGCCACGUUGGUGGAGAGCCUUAUGUGCCCGUGGGCCCAGCAGUAACCCGACACUGCCUGUCACCGGAGUGUCUGGGAGAGCGGAGGCUUCGUGGCCGUUUGUCUACCGUCGAUCAUCGGACACAAAGUAUGGCUGCGGAUCCAGAGAGACACAAGGAAGCACCAGAUUCACCCUGGACUGAUUGCCAGCAGCAUGGCACUUACAGACAACCAUUUAAACUCACGAGGAGUCUUGAACAUGCAUAGCUUUGGAACGUGAAAUCACACAUCUGGACAAAAAUCAGCAUUUGGAGAAGAAGCAAACGCCAUGCACAGAGGUCAGAUCCGAGCUGUAACCCAAAACCUUCGACUCUGAGUAAGACAUGCCAACUACACA